AAGACUAUAGACCUGCGGAGUACCUGCGGAAGGAUCAUUAGUGAACGCCCUCACGGGCUUAUAACUAUUCCAAACCUCUGUGAACCGUGCCCUUCGGGGCUAUUUUACAAACAUGGUGUAAUGAACGUCAUAUAUCAUAACAAAACAAAACUUUUAACAACGGAUCUCU
rnacentral:misc_RNA from 1 species